rnacentral:tRNA from 1 species
GCGGCUGUAGCUCAUUUGGCAGAGCGCCACCUUGCCAAGGUGGAGGUAGCGGGUUCGACCCCCGUCAGCCGCUCCA